rnacentral:rRNA from 1 species
AUUGAACGCUGGCGGCAUGCUUUACACAUGCAAGUCGAACGGUAACAGGCCGCAAGGUCCUGACGCGUGGCGAACGGGUGAGUAAUGCAUCGGAACGUGCCCAGACGUGGGCUGUAACUACUCGAAAGAGUAGCUAAUACCGCAUACGAACUAUGGAUGAAAGCGGGGGACCGUAAGGCCUCUCGCGAUUGGAGCGGCCGAUGUCAGAUUAGGUAGUUGGUGGGGUAAAGGCUCACCAAGCCAACGAUCUGUAGCUGGUCUGAGAGGACGACCAGCCACACUGGAACGGGAAAACGGCCAAGACUCCUACGGGAGGAAGAAGAGGGAAAUUUUGGACAAUGGGCGAAAGCCUGAUCCAGCAAUGCCGCGUGCAGGAAGAGGUCCUUCGGGUUGUAAACUGCUUUUGUACGGAACGAAACGGCUCUGGUUAAUACCCGGGGCUAAUGACGGUACCGUAAGAAUAAGCACCGGCUAACUACGUG